GAGAAAGAGAGAGAGAGUUUAUAGUUAUUUAGUUAUACAUUUCACAUCUAACUUUAGAUCUAAAGAUGGAAUAAGAGUUGAAAAGCUCCCGCACCUAGGAAAAUACUCAUCACCAAAGCGGCAUUCCUUGGUGGUUUAUUUAAAACUACACUCACUAAAGUGGCAUGUUUUAGUAAGGAAUGAAGCACAACGAAACUCAAGCAUGCCAGAAUGCCGGAUCUGAUCUGCAUUCCAGCUGGAAAAUUAAAAGGUAAAGGAGAAGAUCUGGGGGACUCAUGGACGUAGAGUAUUAUGGUGAACUGGUAUGUUUGGAUGCUGUCUUCCUCACUCUCAUUGAUCACUCAGGUUUGUUGACGUGAGGUGAUUGUUUGCUUUACAUCUCAGGAAGCCCUCAUGUUUGUGUUUCCUUCUGGCUCUCCAUUUUAUUUAUGCUGUCAUAGUUACAGUAGUCCUGCCGAAGUCUCUGCUUGCACUCUACAGUUAAUAUACAUUCACAUUAUACAUUGUGUGACUGUGACCAUACCUAACUGCCAUCUCUCCUCUUCCUCUCUUUCUCCCACUCUUUCUCUUUCCUCUCUCCUCCUGUCUCCCCCUUUCACUCUUUCUCUCUCUCUGUUGAGCUACACAUGUCGUUCCUGAGUUGCCAGUGAUCCAGACUCCCUCUGCCCUCCGGACCUGUCUGACCCAUCCUGGUGCCCCGCUUCUGGUUGGUGAUCCUGUCACAUGGAUGCCCCGUGUGCCUAUUUGGGAUGCGUCUGGUGUCUGGGGAUGAUUCUCUUUACCUAGAAGGCGGUUCUGGCGUCGACUGGUGUUGGCAACUGUUUCUCUGGGGACUUGACAGUUCGAUAGUUCAGGACUGGAACUUCCUACAAGUCUACCUGGGUCUUUAAUAAGUACCUGGACUCCAUAUUAACAUCAAUUUAUUGUACAUCAGCUAUUAUAGCUGAACUGCCUGCCACCUAACACAAUGUAUAAAUGCAGAUAAUUUACUGCUUUCUGUUCCACCCAAAUGAGGAUGGGUUCCCUGUUGAGUCUGGUUCCUCUCAAGGUUUCUUCCUAUUAUCAUCUCAGGGAGUUUUUCCUUGCCACUGUCGCCCUCGGCUUGCUCACCAGGGACAAACUGACUAUUCUGAUUCAUACACAUUCACAUUUCAAAGAAACUUAAAUAAUUCUUUUGAUUGUGUAAAGCUGCUUUGCGCCAAUGACAAUUGCUAAAAGCGCUAUACAAAUAAAAUUGAAUUGAAUUGAAUAGUUAUAAAGACGAUGAAGCACAGGAUGUGCAAAAACACUUAUUCAGGCACAAUUCAUUAGAAGGCUUAAUUGUUAUUUUAAUUCCAAAUAAUUAAUUUUUAUUUAGUUUUUCUGCUUGUGAUAUUUACAUACCUGGUGU